AUGAGUGAUUCCGAUGAGAAACACUCAAACUUGAAAACUUGAUAUUCGUGCUUAUUUUACUACUUUUUAUUUACAUUGAACUAGAAAUGACCAGCAAAACCAAAUAUCGCAUUCUCAUGUCAAGUAUGGACGCAUUCGGACAUAUCAACUGUACACUGGCUUUGGGUGAGAUCCUUGCUUCAUAUGGACAUGAAGUAACAUUUGCUAAUCAUUCCCGCCACAAGAAGCUUGCUGAAGAACGAAACUUCAAGUUCAUUCCUUUUGAUGAACAAUUCUUCGAGAAUGUCCAACCUGCUUCUAUACCGGGAUGGCUGGAUAAAUAUUUGCAUAAAUUUCGUGCUGAUGCAUUAUCAAUCUUUAAAGACUGGACAUUAGAAGAAAGCCAAAUUUUUGGCUCAAUUGUUAAUGUAUUUAAACGCAACAGUAUUGCAUUAGAAGCUAUAUUCAAAGAAAAUGCAAAUAAUUUCGACUUGUUUAUCGGCGAUUUUGUUCUCAUGAAUCCAGCUUUCUAUCGAGCGCCUUUUCCUUGUGCAUACCUUAUGUCAAUGAACCCACUUCCUCUCUAUCCAAAUGGACCUCCAGCAUGGUCAGGAUUUUCAGUGAAAGAAACAGAUCAUGAAAAGUGGAAUCGAUUCAGAGAAUUGUGUGGUCAAGCUUCGAAAGUUUACCGCGAAAAUUUGUAUUCUUGGUGGAGAUCUAAUGAAACACCUUUGCCUGCUAUUCAAGAUGAUAGAGUUGAGAAUUGGUUUUAUGUUGAACCUGAACAACUUGGUAUUUAUCAUUAUCCCGAACUUUUAGAUUACCAUGAAAUAGGUCCAAUAAGAUCUGAUAAAUGGAUUCGUUUAGAUUGUGCUAUUCGAAGACCAGAUAAUGUGGAACCAUUUGAAAUCCCUGAAUCACUGAAGUAUUUACCAGGAAAACUGCAUUAAUUUUCAACCCGGGUGAUUUACUUUUCAUUGGGUUCAUUAGGGUCAGUUCAAAUAGAUUUGAUGGAAAGUUUCAUUAAAAUCUUAUCGAAAUGUCCUCAUCGUUUCAUCGUCUCUAAAGGACCAAGAGGAGACGAACUUGAAUUGGGACCAAACAUGUGGGGUGAAAAUUAUGUCAAUCAAAUAGCUAUUCUUGAUGUUGUUGAUUUGGUUAUAACUCAUGGUGGUAAAAAUACAUUUUUGGAAACAAUUUAUGCUGGAAAACCUUUGAUUGUGGUUCCUUUUUUCAUGGAUCAACUUGAUAAUGCUCAACGAGCUGUUGAUUGUGGAAUUGGUGCUCGAAUCAAUCUUCAUGAAAUUGAUGAAGUACAAGUUUUAAAAACAAUUGAUGAAACAUUAUCAAACCCAUCGUAUGCUGAAAAGAUAGCCAAAAUAUCUGCUUCUAUGAAAUCAACGAAAAAUAAAGAUAAUUUUGUCAAAAAAAUAGAAAAGUUCAUCGAAAAUAAUCAAAAAUAA